UACGAAGGGGGCUAGCGUUGCUCGGAAUUACUGGGCGUAAAGGGAGCGUAGGCGGGUCGUCAAGUUGGGGGUGAAAGCCCAGGGCUCAACCUUGGAACUGCCUUCAAAACUGACGAUCUAGAGUGUGGAAGAGGUAAGUGGAACUCCGAGUGUAGAGGUGAAAUUCGUAGAUAUUCGGAAGAACACCAGUGGCGAAGGCGACUUACUGGUCCAUGACUGACGCUGAGGCUCGAAAGCGUGGGGAGCAAACAGG
rnacentral:rRNA from 1 species